GACAGAGGUGCCAAGCGUUAUGCGGAAUCACUGGGCUUAAAGCGUGUGUAGGCGGGCGAUCAAGUACCUUGUGAAAUCCCACGGCUCAACCGUGGAACUGCUGGGUAUACUGGUUGUCUUGAGCCAGCUAGGGGCGAGCGGAACAGACGGUGGAGCGGUGAAAUGCGUAGAUAUCGUCUGGAACGCCGAAGGUGAAAACAGCUCGCUGGGGCUGCGCUGACGCUGAGA
rnacentral:rRNA from 1 species